rnacentral:rRNA from 1 species
AGGACGAACGCUGGCGGCGUGCUUAACACAUGCAAGUGGAGCGACGAACCCGGGCUUGCCCGGGGGCAGAGCCGCGAACGGGUGAGUAACACGUGGGUAACCUACCUAGAUGACCGGGACAACCCGAGGAAACUCGGGCUAAUACCGGAUGUGCUCCUUCCCUUCAAGGGGGAUUGAGGAAAGAUAGCUUCGGCCUUCGCAUCUAGAUGGGCCCGCGGCCCAUUAGCUUGUUGGUGAGGUAACGGCUCACCAAGGCUUCGAUGGGUAGCUGGUC